AUGCCCCAACAGGCGGACACCCCCACACACUACAGGAUGCCCCAACAGGCGGACCCCCCUAGAACAGGCAGGCAUGCCAACAACAUGUGGGCACCCCCACGGGUGGAUGCCCUCCUGCACAGGCGGACCCAACAACAGGCGGACCUCCUAACAAGCGUACAGCCCAACAGGCGGACACUCCAACAGGCGGACACCUCCACACAGCGGAGGAUGCCCCCACACACCGGCAGAACCCCCAACAGCUGGACACCCCAACGACAGCCGGACCCCCCAGCAACAGGCAGACCGAUCCCCCCCACCAACAGGCGGCCGCGCACCGGUCUCGGCCGUCUUGACGGCGGUGUCGAUGAGACCCUCGCGGCCACCCAUGGCGUGGAAGAAGAACUCGGUGGGGGUGAGCCCUGCCAGGUAGGAGUUCUCAACGAAGCCGCGGCUCUCAGGGCCGUAGUCGUCCUUGAUGAAGUGGGAGAUGUUGAUUUUGGAGCCCUUAGCCCCCGAGACCACCAUGGACUUGAAGUUGUUGUACUCGGAGAGGGAUUUCUGCGCGGAGGAGCCGGUUUUGUCACGGGCGUCGUUGAGGAUGCGGUUCACCUGGUUCUCGAAGGUCUGCCGCAGCGUGUUGCCCGGCGUGGGCUCCAGCUCGUUGUUGUGGGCCUUCUCAAUCACCUGUGGGCACCCAGCGUAGGAUCAGGACCCGAAAUCCAAGGGAGGGGGGAGAGGUACCCAAAAACGGCACCAAAAUCCCAGAGAGAAAGCACAAAUCCCAUGGAGAGCCUUAAAAUCCCACACAGGGACACAGAACCCCAUAGAGAACCCCAAAAUCCCAUCGAGAGACACAAAAUCCUGUAGAGGACCCCAAAAUCCCAUAGAGAACCCCAACAUCCCAUAAAGAGAGCCCAAAAUCCCAUAGGAAAACAUAAAAUUCAACAAACGGCACCAAAAUCCCAUAGAGAGAGCCCCAAAAUCCCAUAGAGAAACCCCAAAUCCUCCCCAGACCCAAAAUUCCCCCCAGAACCCAACCCCCCUACUCCCCAAUUCCCCCCCUUGGGCCCCAACCCGUACCCCAACCCCAUGGAUCCCANUCCCAGUACUUCCAUGGCAGCGUUGUGACACUGUGGGUGGGGGCAGGAAGGGACACCUUCGCCGAUGUCACCUGCACUGUCACCUCAAUGCCACCGGGCCACCGUGUCCCCUUCGUGACACCGCAUCGCCUGCUGUUGUCACUGUGAAGCCACCAGGCCACGGGGCGCUGUCACCACGACGGUGGCAUCGUCACCACGAUGGCACCGGGCCACCUGGUGCUGUCACCUCGGUGCCACCGGGCACUGUCACCUCCGUGGUGGCACCGGGCCACCCGGUGUUGUCACCUGCUGCACUGCCAUGGGGCACACCUGGCACAGUGGGGGCAGUGGGGACAAUGGGGACACUGGGGACAAUGAGGCAAUUAGGGGACAAUGAGGGCACUGGGGACAAGAAGGGCAAUGGGGACAUUGGGGACAAUGGGAACAGUGGGGACAAUGGGGACAAUGGGAGCAACGGGGACACUGGGGACACUGGCGGCAGUGGGGGACAAUGGGGCCACUGGGAGCCAUGGGGACACUGGGGACAGUGGGGGACAAUGGGGACAAUGGGAGCAAUGGGGACACUGGGGACAUGGGGACAAUGGGGACAAUGGGGACAAUGGGGACAUGGGGGACAAUGAUGAUACUGGGGACAAUGGGGACAGCGAGGACACUGGGGACAUCGGGAGCAAUGGGGCCACUGGGGACAGUGGGGGACAAUGGGGCCACUGGGAGCAAUGGGGACACUGGGGACAGGGGGGGACAAUGAGGCCACUGGUGUCAAUGAA
rnacentral:lncRNA from 1 species